AGGAUGCGUGGCUCAAAAGCGCUGCAGAAGGAAAAAUAAGAGACGCGCGCUUUGAAAUAUUUUACUCCCUUAGUCUUUCAAAACUCGCGGCCUCUAAAAAAAAACCUAGAAACCUCGCUCAAGCGGCUCAACUCUCUCAAGUAAUACACCACUCUGCCUCUCUCUAACCUCGUUUAUUCCUUCAAUCAGCAAAGUCUUAAUUUUCGCUCAAAUUUGUAUUGGUUAAGAGCGAAAUUACACAGAAUCAAAUUAGGAAAAUUGUUGAUGAACAAGGCGGGCUAGAAGUAAGCUUAAAUGAUGAUCCUGUUGCAAAGGUAUUAGGUAAAGAUCAAUAUAGCCGUGUUCGUGGUUUGGGAUUAGGGGUCAAGCCGUCAGAUUUUGUAGAAUCUUCUGGGCCAUCACGUCAUAAAGGCCUAAACAUGUCCACAAAAGAUGAAACAUUGGUUCUGUAUUAUUUUCGCAAACUGGAGGGUUUAACACAAAGACUAAGAAAACGUGUCAAAAGUCAGGGAAUGACCAUACAUAAGUUGAAAAGGAAGCUCCAAACACAUUAUGGUUCUGACUUCGAUAAUUCUGACUCGGAUGGCUUAAGUGAUUCUGACUCUGAUGGUUUAAGUGAUACUGAAGCUGGUGAAUCUGAUAUUCCGCUAACAGACAAGGGUCAAAAUGCUUCAACUUCUAACAAUGAUGGUUCUCUUUUGCAACGCUCAAAUUAGUUGUUGGUUUAACUUCCCAAGGAUUAAUCUACGAAGCAGCGAGAUAGAGAAGUAGCUGAUGGGAAAUUAUGUGGCGUAGUAUGACGAUCGAGGACAACACGUGCCCUUGAUUUUUAUUUUUUUAGGAACAACGCUUGUAUGCUCUUUCUUAAUUAAGCAAGCAGCAAGCUGAACAUUUAAAGAGUAUAAGAAUAUUGAUUCCAGAUUUAGCAUUUGAUGUUCUAGAUACACUAGCAUACCUUGAAUUGUCUUGAGGACUAGCAUACCUUGAGUUGUCUUGAAGGAUACAUGUUUGGUUGUUACUUU